rnacentral:rRNA from 1 species
AUUGAACGCUGGCGGCAGGCUUAACACAUGCAAGUCGAACGAGUGGCGGACGGGUGAGUAAUGCUUGGGAAUCUAGCUUAUGGAGGGGGAUAACUACGGGAAACUGUAGCUAAUACCGCGUACCAUAGGAUGAGCCCAAGUGGGAUUAGGUAGUUGGUGAGGUAAAGGCUAACCAAGCCGACGAUCUCUAGCUGGUCUGAGAGGAUGACCAGCAACACGGGGACGGAUACAGGGCCCAGACGCCUACGGGAGGCAGCAGUGGGAAAUAUCGCGCAAGGGGGGAAACCUGACGCAGCAAUGCCGCGGGAAUGAAGAAGGCUUUGGGGUUUUAAAGUUCUUUCGGUAGCGAGGCGUUAACUACAGAAGAAGCACCGGCUAACUCCGUGCCAGCCGCCGCGGUAAUUC